rnacentral:lncRNA from 1 species
AAGACAGGGUUGAGCCCAGCGUUGGGAGCGGAGGCGUCUGGAAAACGCGCCAGGGAAAUGAGCCAGGGGCAAGAAUCGAGGCGCUUCUCGGCCGUCGAAGGCAGCUUAGGACUGCUGAGAGACUGGGUAAGGCAGCGUCCUUACCUUGGAAUGCCGCAGAACCGGGCUUCAUUAGAGCACUGGUGCAUACUCUUAAAAAUUAUCUCGUUACCGUUUCGUAUUUUAUUUAGUGGAUUUAAUCGUCUGGGAAGGAGUUUCUAGCCGCAGCCAAUCUUACAGACGCGCAGAAUAUUAAUCUAUUUUGUGCCGACUUAAGGCACGCAUAUUUUAGGAUUUGUGGAUUCCCAAGACCUAUCCCAACGAACUCAAGAGAAGGGGUAAGGCCAGAAAGAUUUCUGCCAUAAGAAUGACUUCUAGGCCAGGCGCGGUGGCUCACGCCUGUAAUCCCAGCACUUUGGGAGGCCGAGGCGAACGGAUCACCUGAGGUCAGGAGUUUGAGACCAGCCUGACCAACAUCGUGAAACCCCGUCUGUACUAAAAAUACAGAAAAUGAGCCGGGCGUGGUGGCGGGCGCCUGUUAUCCCAGUUACUCGGGAGGGUGAGGCAAGAGAAUCGCUUGAACCCGGGAGGCGGAGGUUGCGGUGAGCCAAGAUCAGGCCACUGCACUCCAGCCUGGGCAACAGGAGCGAAACUCUGUCUGAAAAAAGAAAAAAAAAAAAAGCAUGACUUCUAAAAUAACAGAAAGGUGCUCGCUUUGGCAGUACAUAAAUGAAAAUAACAGAAAUUAACCCUGGUAGAAAAGUUAAGGGCAUUAGCUCUACUGAACCUUUACGAAAAAAAGGGUUGCAAGAAUUCUAGGCUCACAAAACAAAUUUGUAGUUCAAUUUUCUCAAAAUUGAAAGAGGAGGAAAAAAUUCUUUACAGAUUCUUAUACAACCAGUAUUAUUUUUAUUUAUUUAUUUAUUUAUUUAUUUAUUUAGAGACGGAGUCUGGCUAUGUCGCCCAGGCUGGAGUGCAGUGGCGCGAUCUCGGCUCACUGCAGCCUCCGCCUCCCGGGUUCAAGCGUUUCUCCUGCUUCAUCCUCCUGAGUAGCUGGGACUACAGGCGCGUGCCACCAAGCCUGGCUAAUUUUUGUAUUUUUAGUAGAGACAGGGUUUCACCAUUUUGGCCAGGAUGGUUUUGAUCUCUUGACCUCGUUAUCUGCCUGCCUAGACCUUCCAAAGUGCUGGAAUUACAGGCGUGAGCCACCGCGCCCGGCCACAACCAGUAUUUCUUGCAAAGCAUAAUACAACUUUAUGUAGUAUUAUGUUUUGAGUGGAAUAAAAAUUCACAAUUGUCAAAGAACCUUUUUGUCGCAUUUCAUUUUACAAUAUUAUUAAAGAAAUGAGGCAAGGAAGAGAUGUUUUAUUGGCACUUUCUAAUUGAUUAUGUCUUCCACUCUUUCUAAUGAAAGGGGUUAUUUUAACACAGCAACAUGAUGAAAGAAAGCCCUAGAGAUGAGUAGAAAUGAAUAGUGUUGAGCUUUUCCAUCCUUCCUGCUUUGCAGCCUGGGGAGUAAAUUUCAGUCCAAGUUACUUCAUUUUGCAGCAAGACAAUUUAAUGAAGUCCACUAGUAGUUUGCUGCUUCAUGAGGUUCUACUGUCAGCUUUGACUUUUGGUACAAUUAAGGAGCCACAAAGUCCCUGGAGUAGAUUAUGAAACUUCUUACCCUUACUCUUAUAAUGUCAGGCUUGAGGAUUUAAACCAGUUUCCCUGUUUCCUUGCACGGUGUUAAUAUACUUGGUUUGCCUCCAAUCAAGUUUUUUUUUUUUCCUUUUUAAAAUCCUCCUUCCCUUAGUGGGAAUAGAUGUUUAAAAUUCAGUGUUCUUGCUUGAUGACUUGUGAUGUAUAUAAAAAAACUCGAUGUUCAUUAAAAAGCUAGCAAACUUUGGCUCAAAGAAAAUGUUGCAUUUAUAGCUAGUCAGUGAAUCUCCUCUGGCCUCAAUUUCCCCAGUUCCACAACACAUUUCUCUCCUUGGGGUGCUGCAAGCGGUUAAUUAAUUAAGAUUUGUAAAAGGCUUUGAGGAGUAGGGGACAAAGUAUUAUUAGGGUCUCAUGCCCCAAGCCAUGGCCCCAUCCUUUCAUCCCAGCCAGUGGCACAGGCAACCCCAUUCUUAUGCAUGCCAAGCCCCUAAUCCCCUCUUGAAUGUGGAAGCUUCCAAGGAAAGGACAAGAGGCCUUAACUAGAAACAAAAAUCCACUGUAAUGAGGUGCUAAGAGGACUGAACUUUCAAGAUUCAUUCCUAACAAACUGGCUGAACAGAAAAACUUCUGAGUCCCAAUCCAAGAAAGUGGGAGUUAUCGGAAGGGCAAAAACAUCUGACAAGGGGAUGACAGUUUGCGUACCAAUAAGUCUUUAUUUAUUCAUUGUAUUUUCCCAGGGAAAGGAGAAGGGAAGGGAAGAGUCAGCUUGUGUUAAAAAAUGAUUAGAAAAUGGGAAAGGAAGUACCCAGUACAGCAAAAUCAACCAUCAAAUAAACACACCCCAGUGAUGGGGUCACCAAAGCCCAAAGGGGCUCAGUCUCCUGCAGUUCAGGAAUGAGGGAAAAGGAUCAGGAAAAAAACAGACAGGUACAGGCUUUCCUACCCUCCCGCCCCAUAAAUUCAAGAUUUUACACAAAGCUUUGGUUUUUAGCAGUAAACAUGGAGUUACAUUCGUUCGUCUCCUAUUAAACAAUCUUGUGGCCACUUUGACAUAAAGUUUCUAGCACCUGCAUAAAAGUUCCUGAGUGACUUGGAUAUACAUUCAUAUUCCCUUUCUUGGCCUCCUGACCCCACUUUCUACAUGGAAGGCCCCCAAUUGCAUCUCUUUACUUUAGGAUUAGAAAUUAAAAUUAAGGAGGUUUGAUCCAUCCAAAAUACAGUAGUGUGUUUUUGUUUUGUUUUGUUUUGUUUGAGACAGAGUCUUGCUCUGUAACCAGGCUGGAGUGCAGUGGUGCGAUCUCAGCUCACUGCAACCUCUGCCUCUCGGGUUCAAGCGAUUCCCCUGCCUCAGCCUCCUGAAUAGCUAGGACUAAAGGCAUGCACCACCACACCCGGCUAAUUUUUUUGUAUUUUAGUAGAGACGGGGUUUCACUGUGUUGGCCAGGAUAGUUUUGAACUCGUGACCUUGUGAUCCGCCCGCCUCAGCCUUCCAAAGUGCUGGGAUUACAGGUGUGAGCCACCGCGCCUGGGCUACAGCAGUGUCUUAAGUGUUUGGCAUGAAUACACCAAGAAAUGGUUGGCCCAGCAUGGUGGCUCAUGCCUGUAAUCCCAGCACUUUGGGAAGCCAAGGUGGGCAGAUCACCUGAGGUCAGGAGUUCCAGACCAGCCUGGACAACAUGGUGAAACCCCGUCUCUACUAAAAAUACAAAAAUUAGCUGAGUGUGGCGGGUGCCUGAAAUCCCAGCUACUCAGGAGGCUGAGGCAGGAGAAUCACUUGAACCCAAGAGGCAGAGGCUGCAGUGAGCCGAUCAUGCCACUGCACUCCAGCCUGGGUGACACAGUGAGACUCCAUUUUAAAAAAAAAAAAAAAAGAAAGAAAGAAAUGGUAAUGGUCUUGACUUAGGAGGUUGGGAACAAGGGAUGGAGGGUUUUCCUAGCUUCAGUAUUUUUGCAUACAUCAUUUAAGAGUUGUGGAGACACUCCAAGCAUGAAAUGUGUAUGUGUGUGGGUGUGUAAGUUUUCUUUUGGGGGUGAACAGAAAAGAGGGCAGGGUAGAAGACAAGUUUUUAGGACAGAAGAUCUGGUCUAAUAGGUAAUAGGGGAAGGGGAAUACAAAAGAAAGGAUGGUUCAAGAUCCCCACUUUAAGAAGAGGGCCCCCCAAACUAAUGUUUCAGAUCUUUUUGCCUGGUGCAGAACCUUCUUGAAGUCCUACAAAGCCCAGACAAAUACAGUAACUUGGGGGGCAGCAUUUAGGGGAGACAAGAACCCAGGAUCAGACACACACCACCCAAUGCGUUCUAUUGCAUUUGUCCCGUUUCAACACAGUAAGGUAGGUUUGCGGUGAUCUCACAGCGUGUAAACGAAACCCCCUUUUUCUCCUUUAGCUACCAUGACACUAUUAAUCACUACUGUAGCAGGGCAGGACACAGGCUCCAGGCACCACAAAACCCUCGCUUGUGUGUCUCCCUGGAACCCGAAAAUUUUGAAAGGUUAAGGAUCUCACCUUACUUCAUAUAUCCAUCCCUCGACAGCACAGGAUUAAGUACAGGGGUAUUGGUCUUUAAACUUAUCCUUAGCAACUCUAGUUUUACAAACACACACACACCCUGUGGCACAUGGUAGGCCUAACCUAAUCUGGUGAAGAACAGAUCUGGAGAUGUAAAGCACGUCCUGUGCCAUAGGAUUAGACAACCCUCACCUAAUCUUGGCUUGCUCUCUGGCCUUUUCACCGGGCCCAGCCUCUCCUAGCCUCUGUGUACCACCAUUUCCUGUUUAGACUAAUUCCCAAUCUUCCAGUAGAAGGCAAUCAAGUCAUGGGGCCACCCAGUUAAAACCUAGUCUCCCAUAAAACAUUUUCAAGGCAGAGGGGGUUUCAAGAGGACACUAUGGCAGAAAAGCCAGCUCUUAUUGGCAAAAAUGAGGUAGUUCAAUAGGCUGUGCACUCCAAAUAGUUGCUCUCCACGGUGGCAAAAACAACAAAAAGUAAUUCCUGCUGCGCAGACCUGGAGCUGCUGCUGGCUAUCCCUGAGAUUGCUCAUGUACCUGAGAACACAGUGCAGGAAAUGAGGGCCUUAGAUUAAAAUAUACAAAAAUACAAAACCAGAAUAUUUAUAUUAAGGAAAAAAAGUUAAAAUGCACAAGAUACGUCAUUCGCACACAGCUAGUGCAGUUGGCAUCCUGGAGAAAGUGGGACCCAAGGUGCAGUAUCCAAGGGAGCAAAUAAAUAAAAUCACAUUGGCCCAGAAUGGGGCGGGGGUGAGCAUAGAGCAGCAGGUCUGCAGCUGUUCCCCCAAACACCCUUUUUGCCAUCAUCAUUACCCAUUGCUUGGGACAGCUGCCAGCACCCUAUCCCAAAAGUGGGUAUGAGGAUACAAGAUGUGAAAAAAAAACAAUGCUUACUCCUGAGAGAUCUCCUUCCACAGAAUGUAGUGGCUUGGCUCCAUGAAUCUGGUCUUAUACUUAAUCAUUUCACUCUGGCAUGGGAAUUAUUAUAUAUCCUUCUUUAAAAGGAAAACAACUUCCCUAUCCAGGCCACUUUCAAAAGCUGGAAAUUCUGGGGAUGGAGACUCAAAGUAUGCAGGUUGUAGGGUGAUUCCCCCCUCCUGGUUGCCCCCAGAACCCUCACUUGCAUUUGGACAGAGCAUGGUUGGAGUUCCUUUGACUCACCCUUUCCCCCCACCUAGAGGGAAGAAAGGGUGAUGGUGUGAACCCAAGCCUGAGAUACAUGGCAGUGCCAACUAGCCCCAAUGCACCCUAUUCCCACUUUCUCCACUCUGCCUGCUCCUCAAAACUUCCUGAUAGCAAAAGAAUAGCCCCCACCCAUUGUGGCUCAAUUCUGUGCCUCCGGGAGCAGGGUAGGGCUGUGGAUUUCUUCUUCUUCCUCUCGAAAGUAGGUUGGCUUUCCCUGUGCACUAGGGCCCUGCUGGGCCUUCAGCGGACAUGAGGCUACCAUAUGGCUGAUGCUCUGGCAGAAGUGGCACUUCUUGGGCUGGGGUGGCAGCUUGCAUUCCUUGGCAUGAUGAUCUAGACCUCCACAGUUGUAGCACCUAGUACAAAGCAAGAUCGUAAAAGUAAGAGAAAGGAGCAAGAAGAGGCCAGAUGCCUCCCACGAAUGAGGACACCUGGGCUCUGGUACAGGUUUGUCACUUACUUCCCUUCCCAGAGACCAAACUUCCCACUUGCAAAAGGAGGACUAUUACUAAAUGAUCUCUAAGUCCUUUCCACAUCUAAUUGUCUAGGUGAUCUCUUCAGAUUCAUGUCAACUUGAAAAUACCAAGAUACCAGAAAUAUAAGUUACUGACCCCAACUAGGAACUGCAACUUGGGGGAUAGGAGAGAUUCUUCCAUACCCUUAAUAUAGGAGAAAUUAAAGAAGCCAAAUUAUAGUAUCUGUUCAGAGCUAAGGGGCUUUAAGCCCAAGCAAGAUUAAGGAAACCAGCCAUUUGCAGACCUGGUAAAGCAGCAACAGAUAUAGAUAAUACUGUCUUGUCCCACCAUUUGCAAAUCUAUGAUCUCCUUUAAUUCUAAAACCAUCCUAGGAUGUUAGUAUCACUGCCUCACUUAACAAUUGAGGCUUAGAGACCACAGAGCAAACUUACUUGUCCCAAGUAGCACUAAGUCACCCCCAGUGGCCUCCUCACCUACUGCCCUUGCCCACACCUAUUGCAGGCGCUCAGCCUUCCAGAUGCUGCCAGGGACCACAGGCUUCCCUUUGUCUUUUGCAGUGUGACCCAAAAAGUGACAGGAUUGGGAGACUGGGGAUGCCCUUAGCAACCUAUAUAAGCUGCCUUCCAAUCCAUACCUGUCUCCUUUUGAUCUGCGCUUCUGCAUGCUCUUUCCUUUUGGCCGCCUCUCACUCCCAAUACAGAAUACUCCACCAGGUCCGGUGACACGGAUGGAUUCCAGACCCUUGGCUGACUUCUUAAAGGUGAACUCCACUGCCUCACCCUCCUUCAAGCUCCGGAACCCUUCCAUGUGCAGCUUACUCUGGUGAAGGGAAAUGCAGUAAAUUUUAACAUUAAUUUCCAUUAUUAUACCAAAAGACAAGGAACUCUUAUUCCUGUAGGGUAGGAAUCAAAUGUGAUGGUACUCCUAUUUUACUGGUAAGGAAACUGACUCAAAGAGUCACUACGAUUAAGAACAACAAAGUCUACCAGUACAUUAACAAAAAUCGUAAUUAU